AAUUUACGUACCUAAAUUAACCAGCUCUGAUACCAACUGAUACGAGCUUGUUUCGUAUGAAAUAACGAGUCGUAAUAUUUCCCGAUCGAAAUUAGGUAGUGUCGGCCUUGAAAUAAAUUCAAGUCUUGGUGUUUAAAAUUAAAUGGCUUUGGGAAACAAGGGAGUUUGAUGGAGUGUUGUUUGCUGGAUAUUUCAAUGAAAACAAGUCGAACCCUUAUUAGCAAAUAAGGACCCGAGGCUUAAGGUUUCAAAGAAAUAAAGGAUUUGGGAUAAAACCGAG
rnacentral:lncRNA from 1 species